rnacentral:rRNA from 1 species
UACGUAGGGUGCGAGCGUUGUCCGGAAUUAUUGGGCGUAAAGAGCUCGUAGGCGGUGUGUCACGUCGGCCGUGAAAACCUGCAGCUUAACUGUGGGCUUGCGGUCGAUACGGGCAUCACUGGAGUUCGGCAGGGGAGACUGGAAUUCCGAGGUGAUAGCGGUGAAAUGCGUAGAUAUCUGGAGGAACACCGGUGGCCGAAGGCGACAUCCUGGACCGGUAUUGACGGCUGAGGCGCGAAAAGCCAGGGGAGCCAAACAGG